rnacentral:rRNA from 1 species
GAUGAACGCUGGCGGCGUGCCUAACACAUGCAAGUCGAGCGUGAUUUAUGAGGACGAAACUUCGGUCUAGGAAUCAUAAUGAAAGCGGCGGACGGGUGAGUAACGCGUAGGCAACCUGCCCUUAACACAGGGAUAGCCUCGGGAAACCGGGAUUAAAACCUGAUGAUGCCAAAGAGUCACAUGGCUCGUUGGCCAAAGAUUUAUCGGUUAAGGAUGGGCCUGCGUCUGAUUAGUUUGUUGGUGGGGUAACGGCCUACCAAGACUACGAUCAGUAGCCGACCUGAGAGGGUGAUCGGCCACAUUGGAACUGAGACACGGUCCAAACUCCUACGGGAGGCAGCAGUGGGGAAUAUUGCACAAUGGGCGAAAGCCUGAUGCAGCAACGCCGCGUGAGCGAUGAAGGCCUUUGGGUCGUAAAGCUCUGUCCUUGGGGAAGAAACAAAUGACGGUACCCAAGGAGGAAGCCCCGGCUAACUACGUGCCAGCAGCCGCAGUAA